GGCCUUGCCUGUCACUUUUGCCAGGGGCGAGGGUCGCGGAGGGGACAGCAUCAGGGCGGCUGGGGUGGGGACGGCUGGAGAGGCGCAAACUUUACUAGGAGUUUUUGGCACUUGGAGGCAGAGCCCGUUGGGCGGCACAGCACGCCCGCCGGGAAACGCAGAGGAGCGGCCUGCUUGGCUGAAAACCCGACCAGGACCUAACGGGCCGCGGGACAGAAGCCUCCGAGACCAUGGCACGCAGCGACUACCACAGCCCACUCUUCAACCCCUGAUUCUUCGUCCCCGCCCCACAGCGCGGUAUAAGUAGGGCCCGAAACACAAUUGGCAACCGCAGUAGCCAAUCUACUUGCCAACCUCACUUUGACAGCCCAAUCACGAUGAAGAGGAGGCGGGGAGACCACGGUGUCUCCCUCUGUUGCCCAGGCUGCAGUGCAGUGGUGUGAUCUCAGCUCACUGAGACCUCUGCCUCCCAGGUUCAAGCGAUUCUCCUGUCUCAGCCGCCCCAGUAGCUGGGACUACAGAUGCAUGCCACCACGCCCAGCUAAUUUGUGUAUUUUUAGUAGAGACGGGGUUUCACCAUAUUGGUCAGGCUGGUCUCGAACUCCUGACCUCAGGUGAUCUACCCACCUCAGCCUCCCAAAGUGCUGGGAUUACAGGCGUGAGCCACUGCGCCUGGCCCGAUAGAGGUACGUUUGUCAAGCUAAUGUAUAGCUGCGGACCAACUGUAUAUGAUCAUGCGCACCUUGGCCAUGCUUG
rnacentral:sRNA from 1 species